UACGUAGGUGGCGAGCGUUAUUCGGAUUUACUGGGCGUAAAGGAUCCGUAGGGGGUCUGUUAAGUCUGAUGUGAAAUUUCGGGGCUCAACCCCGAAGCUGCAUUGGAUACUGGCAGACUCGAGUCCGUGAGAGGUAAGUGGAAUUCGUGGUGUAGCGGUGGAAUGCGUAGAUAUCACGAGGAACAUCAAAGGCGAAAGCAGCUUACUGGCACGGUACUGACCCUGAUGGAUGAGAGCUAGGGUAGCGAAAAGGAUUAGAUACCCGGGUAGUCC
rnacentral:rRNA from 1 species